GAAUGUGCGCUUCGAAAAAAAAAAAAAAAAAAAAAAAAAAAAAAAAAAAAAA
rnacentral:ribozyme from 13 species